rnacentral:rRNA from 1 species
ACGGGAGGCAGCAGUGAGGAAUAUUGGUCAAUGGACGGAAGUCUGAACCAGCCAAGUAGCGUGAGGGAUGACGGCCCUAUGGGUUGUAAACCUCUUUUGUGAGGGAAUAAAGUGCGCCACGUGUGGUGUAUUGCAUGUACCUUACGAAUAAGGAUCGGCUAACUCCGUGCCAGCAGCCGCGGUAAUACGGAGGAUCCGAGCGUUAUCCGGAUUUAUUGGGUUUAAAGGGAGCGUAGGCGGAAGGUCAAGUCAGCUGUGAAAUGUAGUCGCUCAACGUCUGCACUGCAGUUGAAACUGGCCUCCUUGAGUGCGUAAGAGGCAGGUGGAAUUCGUCGUGUAGCGGUGAAAUGCUUAGAUAUGACGAAGAACUCCGAUUGCGUAGGCAGCUGACCAGGCCGUAAAUGACGCUCAUGCACGAAAGUGCGGGGAUCGAACAGGAUUAGAUACCCUGGUA